rnacentral:lncRNA from 1 species
UGAAGGCAUUUUUGAUCCGGAUGACCUGUUCACAGAUCCGAUGUUCUGAUUUGGUGGAGGAGAGGCACUUUUUUUUUUUUUUUUUGAAGACAUGCCAUUAUGUUAGUCAGUAUUGCUCUUCUUUAUCUAUUCUUAAUCUGCUUUAGGGAGCAAGAUUUUGUGUAUCUUCAAACUCUUUUGAGAGACUAGGUGGAUUUUGGUUGAAAAUUUUCAAAAGAAAAUGGUAGCAAUUUGAUUUCUUGCAAGCUCUUUGUUUAUGUAGUUUGUUGGUUUAUCUUUUUGCCAAAACCUCUUACAAGCUAAUGGUUCAGACUAGAAUCAAAUGCUACUAAGCUAAGUGUAUUUCUGUAUUCUUAUGGCUACCUGAUCAUAAAACAUAUCUAAUGUUAUGAGGAGCCCACCACCAGCGGGGUGGGACGAGGGUGGGGUGUCUGGACCGUUGUGAUUGUUUAAUCGAUCAAAUGAUCAAACUGCUUCUUAAUGUAUGGGGUGGGACUAUUUUAGUCUUUCAUAAAUACCACUUAACCAGUAUAGACCUUAAUGUAUAGAAAAAAGUGAUCUUUUUCCUUCUGCCACCAGUGUGUGCCUGCAACAAUGGAGUGUACAUUUUUAUUGCUUUCCUUAUCACGUAGUUUUGUUCUUGCAGCAAGACUCCCAGUUGGUUUAAAGUUUCGAAGGCAGCCAUAUAUUAAUUAUUGGUGCAAGAGUUUCCAUCAAAGGUAGAAAAAAAUUGCUCUUUCUUCUCAUCAUAUCAGAUUUGGUUUUCGUCUAAGUUGACCUCAUUUAGAGAAAGCUUUCUCAAAGGACCGCAGUUGAUGAGUUAACCAAGCUUGAAAGUUGCAACCAUGUUUAGAGAGAAUACUAAUAUAUAAUCUUGUCUCUUUAAAACUAAUAUAUAUGAGUAUUUUGUAAAUGAGGCAUUCAGGUAAUAUGUCUCCUUGUGGUCACAUAAUUCUUCUUAUUAAUGUGCAAACAGCCAAACAUACCUUAAAUACCUGAUUUUGUAGUUUGAUUUUGCUGCAAAACUUGAUAAUCAGCUCUUUGUCACGCUUCUGCAAUUUCCAUCCAGCAUUCUUUCCUUAUGAUGCUGAGUAAAUUUAGUCCUCAAUCAUCGAAAGGAAACAUCAGGUGCACAGGUACCACAUAGUGUUACGAAAACUGGUGUACCCUUAGGCCUUAGCGCUUAUACUAAGCUCAAGUAUUAUACUAAAUGCAACAACAUAUUGAGGACAACACUCAUUUCAUAAAGGUGUGCUUAUACUAAAGAGCUAUGGCUCAAAUAUUACAACUUCUUCUUGUCUCUUAAUGUUGUGGAAUCGAAUCCACUAUAUAGAGUCAACUGCUUGAGCAGUUUAGCCAUUUUGAGCAAUGUUUCUCAACAAUGGUGAGAUUCAUUCUCUCAGCUACACCAUUGUCUUUUCAUGUCUGAUCUCAUUGCUUGAAUAUUACUGCUCAAAUUCCAUUGUCAGUGUAGAGACGCUUUAGCUUUCUACCUGUCUCCCUUUUCACCAUAGCAUGAAACUUCUGGAAUACUUGAAACACCGGAUGUUUGGUUUUCAAGAUAUAAACCCACAACUUUCGUGAAGUAUAGUCUAAAUUGACCUCAUUUAGAGAAAACUUUCUCAAAGAACGUUAUUCCUUUUUAAAAUAUUGUCACUUCAUGAUAACCAUAAAGAGUGGACUGAUUCAAGGAUGACAUUAAUAAUAUUUGUUAUUAUUCCCUUUUAUGAUCCAGUAGGAGUCAAUUUUUCCUUUGUGAAGCUGUACUUGUACUAAGUGUAAAGUCACAAUAUUCAUCACAUGAAGGAGUAAGUGAGCUCCGAGAUGUUGAAUCUGUUGCACGAGGAAGAGGAAAGAAAGGGAAAAGAAGAGUAUAUAAAACGUUGUGUGUAUAUCAUAACGCCAACCUCAAAAAUAGAGUCGACUGCUUCAAGGAUUGACAACGAUUGAUUUAUCUGAUAACAAACCUUCAAAUCCACAUGUCUACAAAAAUAUAUUGGAAUCUUGAUACUGCCUGGUAAUUUUUUGACUUAAAUAAACAACACCAAUGAAAUGAUAGUUAGAGAUAAUCUAUCCUCACCAAUAGAUUAAUAAACUUUAGAGAGAAAUUAACUGCAUCACCAAUCUAAUAAAAAUUAUUAUUUCACUCUCUUUGUAAGGCUCCUUCGUGCUAGCUUCCAAUUUCUGAGUUCCACAGGAUUUUCCGAUCAAAUUUGUAGGCUUUUACUUCUUUUAAAUGUCAAUGGCUAGGCAUUCUUUCAUGAAAAGUAGACUGACUCAAAUUCUUCAUAUACAUCAAACGAUCCAUGAAACUGUAACCAUUUCACUUGUUGAUUGCAGGUUAAGUCUCCUCGGAUGACAACUCAAUAGCAAAGCAGUCACAAGCAUUGAAAACUCCUAAAGUGAGGCACUAUAUAUCUAUAUCUAAAAUGACAACUUGGCCUGGGGUAUAACAACUGUGUGUGCCCUCUGAACUUAUUUUUUUUUGUCAAAAUGGAUGGAAACUUGAGACCAUGAGACCGAGUUUGAUAGAAAUUUGUUCAACUUACAAAGCCAUGCCAAAUCUAAAUUGUGGCAAAGCAAAUCUAUUUUUGAGUGCUUUAGCUGUCUUGACUCUAUUGCAACUUUCAGCUCAAGAAUCAUAAAUCCCGUAUAUAUUCUAGCGAAUACCAAAUUUGGAGCAUCAAUCUUCCUUGUGCCACCUGAAUCGUCCUUAAUCUUCAAGAGAUUUAGGAAAUUGAGAUGUAGAAAUAAGGUGCUCGAGAUUCCAUCACAUGUCCACAUUCAGUAACAUCCAAAUUGUCUGGGGAAGAACUAGAAUAAUACAAGUGUUCAAGAUUGAUGCUUUAACACCCUGGUUUCUUGUUGUACAUAUGAAAACUGACCUGAUCUUUUGAAGAUUUAGCAGCUCAAUCUUUUUCAACCUUCUAUAACAAUGCUCAAGUGUGAGUUAGUGAUUGACCUCCAUCACCUGACAAAAAAGUAAUAGCAUCACAAGAAAAGAUCGCGUUGAAGUUGGUUAUAAGCGAAUUUCGUCCUCUGAAUAGAUAGCUAAAUAAUCAUUUGGCAAAGGUAGUUCUUAAAUGUUCACUUCUUUUCCCUUCUAUCUUUGUCUACAUUCUUUGUUUCCGGGCAGGGGGUGAAGGACAUAAGAGAAGAUUUUUCCUAUAGGUAAGGAAGAGGCGAAAAAGGAGCAUUAGUCACUAAGCCCAUGGACGAAGACAAUGAUAUCAGUUCCAUUUUUGAUGUUGGGAAAGCACCAACUGCUCAUAGUGGAAUGUCCAGAUAUAUAUGCAGCUGCAGGGGCAACUCUUGCUUAGUCACCUCCCUUUGCCCCCUCAGCUAAACUCCCAUUGACGAUGAAGGCACUUUUAAUAUGCAUGACUUGUUCACAGAUCAGAUGUUCUGAUUUGAUGGAGGAGAAGCUGUUAAGUUUGAUAUUAGUUGCUCACAACCAGAUAGGCUGUUAAUAUUGAUACUGCACUUGGUUUUUUGAAGAUCUGUUUAUCAAUUAAAUGAUCAAAAUGGUCCUUAAUGUAUGGGGUUGGACUAUUUUAGUCAUUUAUAUAUACCUCGUAAUCGAAAUAUGUGUAGAAAAAGUGACCUUUUUCCUCCCGCCACCACCUUUAAUAUAUCAUUUUUUCAUAUAUUAAGGACUAUUUUGAUAUGAUAUAUAUGAACUAAAAGGAUCACUUUUCUGUACAUUAAGGACUAUUUCUGUUUAAACUCCCCCUUCUGACAUGUUAUGUGAACUCCCUGUCUUGCAAAAGUAAUAGCCAAUGUGGUUUUUAGUUGUUGCAGCAAAUAGAUUUCAUGUAAUACAUGUCAGAGUUCACAUUGAAAACAAAACACCAAGAGAUUGUCUCCUUGCAAAUGUCUAUUUGUUCAAUUGUGUAAAUAAAUUGCAAACAUGAUCCAAUUAAUAAAGGGGAAAUUGUAUAAAAUAACAAACUAUUAAUUCAAAAUAAAUGUUAUAACCACAGUUUCAAUUAAUUCUGAUCCGUAGCAAACACUUUGUCAUUUCCCUCUCUCUCCUGCAUCUCACUCGCCACUCUCCUUGAAUCUCGCUCGCCACACUCCCUCACCUCUCUCACUUUAUACAAACACAAAUGUAUAAAUUGUGUUUGUAUAAAGCGAAAGAGAACUGUAUAUGCAAAUACAAAUACAUAUUUCUUCGUCCUACACACUUAUAAUUAUACAAAUACAAAUUUUCUCCUGCUCAAUUCUCUUUUUGUUUUUCUCUCUUUUUCACUUUAUACAAACACAAAUUACAUAUACAUAUACAAACACAAUUUUCAUAGACACAAACAUCCAUUUAAUACGAAUCUCCGUGAUUUAUACAAAUCGUUGCGAUUUAUACAAAUAAGAUGCUUACGAUUUUAUGCAAUCAGAUGUUGCUUGUGAUUUUAUUCAAAUUUGAUGCUCCAUAGCAAACAUGCAAAUAGAAAAAGUGUAGCUAUAAAACGUUAAUAUGAUUUUUUAUGUUUUCUAAACCUAAUAUUUACUCAAUUAAUGUCUUUGAAAUUGGUAACUAAAUAAUUUUGUGAGAUAAAAUAUAAUUUCCUUGAAGAAGAUAAAGUUUUAAAAAUAUGUCUUCCAUCUUUUGACAAUUCUUUUGAUUUCAAUUUUUCAUUUAAUAUAUUUUAGAAUAGAAACAUAUCUUUAUUUUUAAAUUAAAAAUUUUAAUUUUUUUUUUCUAAAAUUACUCACUCCGUUUAAAAAAUAAUGACCUAGUUUGACUUGGAACGGAAUUUAAAAAAAGAAAGAAAGUUUUUAAUUUUGUGGUUCUAAAUUAAAGUUAUGUCAAACGUACCAAAAUGUUCUUUAAUCUUGUGGCCUGAAACAUAUCACGUGAAAGAUUGAAGUUAAAGUAUUGACAAAAAAGGAAAAAAGAUUAUUCUUUUUUAAACGGACUAAAAAGGAAAUCUGAUCAUUUUUUUUGAAAUAGAAUACUUGUUAGGUUAAAAUUAGACAAACAAAUAGUGAAUGAGUAAUUGUAAGACCAAACCAUUGUCUUCUUCCUCUUCCUUCAACUUUCUCACAGUCUCCAUCUUUGAGCUUAACCCAUCUCCCAAAUUACUCUUCUUUACCCCUCACCGACCAACAAUGCACUCUUACAGACUCAAAACCCAGAACAAUUCGCUUUCGUUUAAGCGAAUUGUGCAGACAAGGCCAACCCCAUCUACUGUUCGAUACAAUUCCUCAACCAACAACUGUGCUUUGGAACACAAUAAUAAUUGGGUUUAUCUGUAAUAACAUGCCCCAUGAAGCCAUUUCAUUCUAUUCUCGAUUGAAUCAUGUGGGUUCAUCCAUAUGUGAUCAGUAUACUUAUUCCUCUGUUCUCAAGGCUUGCGCGGAGACCAAACGGAUUCUUGUAGGUAAAGCUGUGCAUUGCCACAUUCUGCGUUCUGGGAUUCAUCCUAGUAGGAUUGUUAGUAAUUCUUUGUUGAAUAUGUACUCUGCUACUUGUCUUACAUUGGAUAAUGGUUCUGAUUGUGAUUUAGUUGAAAGGGUGUUUAGAACUAUGCGUAAAAGAAAUGUUGUUGGGUGGAAUACUAUUUUUUCAUGGUAUGUGAAAAGGAAGAGGUUUUCGGAAGCAGUGAGGUGUUUUGUUAUGAUGAUGAGAUUAGGUAUUAAGCCAACUGUUGUUAGUUUUAUUAAUGUUUUUCCUGCUGUAUCAGAAAUAGGGGAUGUUAGAGUUGCUUAUGUUCUUUAUGGGUUGCUUGUGAAAUUGGGUAAUGCAUAUGUAAAUGACUUGUUUGUUGUUAGUGCUGCCAUUGUUAUGUAUGCUGAGCUUGGUUGCAUUGAUCUGGCAACCAGAAUAUUUGAGAAUACUUGUGAAAGAAAUAUAGAGAUCUGGAACUCUAUGAUUAGCGGGUACAUUCAGAACAAUUUUCCUUUAAAAGCUGUUGAUCUCUUUCUUGAAGCUGUAGAAGCAGAGGAUGCUGUUACUACUGAUGAUGUGACAUUUGUAUCCGCUCUUAUGGCAACUUCACAGUUGCAGCAUUUGGAGUUUGCCCAAUAGCUACAUGCAUGUCUGAUAAAGAAAUGCAAGGAUUCACAGGUUAUUUCGCUUAAUGCUAUGAUAGCCACAUACUCUAGGUGUAACCAUGUUCUACUCUUUGCAGCAGAAUGGUUUAGAACCAGAUGCUGUUACCUUUGUAGCAGUCCUGUCUACUUGCAGCUACACCGGAUUGGCCGGUACAGGCCUUUAAAUAUUUGAGCUGAUGGGUGAAGAAUAUGGGAUUCAGCCAUCAGCAGAGCACUAUGCUUGUGUGGUUGACAUGUUAGGAGAGUUGGACGGUUGGAUGAAGCUCAUAAUUUUUCUAAACACUUGGGUGUUGAGGGUAAUGUCUUGGGAAGAUGGGGAUCACUCCUUGCAGCCUGCAGAGUGCAUAUAAAUUUUGAAUUGGGGUAAAUUGUUUCCAGUAAGCUGCUUGAAUUAGAGGGGAGUGAUGGAAUUUAUGGUUAUCAUAUUCUGCUUUCAAAUAUAUAUGCAGAGGUAGGAAACUGGCAGUCUGUCAAUAACGUCAGAAGAGGAAUGCUCAAAAUGAGAUUGUCAAAGGAGGUUGGGUGUAGUUGGAUUGAUACUUCUGGAUAUCCACACUGUUUUGUAUCUAAAGAUAAGAAGCUUCCUCAGUACUGCAUGAUAUAUGAUAUGUUGGGAUAUUUAACCAUCAAUAUGUAGGAUGCUGGCUAUAAGCCUAAACUUGAACUAAUAGAAGAGUGGAUCUAUGGGCUAGAAGAAUAAAAAACUAUUAGUUCUCCCACUAUGUUGUUGUUCUCGGACUAUGUAGCUUUGUAUUCAUGAUAUUUUUGGACAGGAUUUUGCUAGAGUUAAUAUGAUCGUAGUUUAUCAAUGACCAGCUGCCUUUGAAAUUCGAGGUAAUUAAGUUGUGUUUUAGCUUUUUUUAGUUUAGUUUUUUCUUCUGAAUUAUGCUUUUUUACUUUGUAAAGAUACUCAGAAGUAGGAUAUUCAGUUAGUGAAAUAUAUGUAUAAUUCUUUAUUACNNNNNNNNNNNNNNNNNNNNNNNNNNNNNNNNNNNNNNNNNNNNNNNNNUCAAGAAUAUCCAUUUUACCUUUUUGGUGGGAAACGAGGAGUCCCAGAUCGCAAAAGAAGGGUCUUAUCCAAAAUGACAACUUCUAUCAAGCUGUCUGAUUGACUGAAGCACAUGUAAAUUAGGUGACCAGUUCUUUCCUUUGAAUAACUUAUACUUGUCCUGCAGGUCGACUUUUAAACUGUUGUAUUAAGGAUUUUCUUUGAUAUAGUGUUUGCAAGUUCAUGCGUGUUUUUAUAUUGGAGCCAAAUGGCAUUAAUAACACUUGUUAAGGUUGGUCCAGAUAACUAUUAAUAUGUCUGCUAAGGUUGGUUCAAUCAGUGGGAUAUUAUAGUUCAUCUUUCAAUAGCAUGAUUUCACUAUAUAGACCCUUUUGUUGUGUAUUUUUCAUCUUGGCUUAUCAAACCUCUAAGAAGUACUUAGGAAAUCAUUAAGAACCCCUAAUAGUUUAGCAACCUCCUCAAUUUCACAAUCAUUCAAUGCGCUCCUAAAAAGUAGAUUCCAACCGUGUUGACUCCAGGCUUGUUCCACAGUGUCAUUGUUCUGCAUACUCAAUGUAUAUAGAAGAGGGAAUAGGUUUCUAAAACUGUCUUCUUCUAUCUAUCUUUCAUUCAAGAACUCUGUCUUCCGUCCAUCCCCAACACCUAAUACAUAUGUUGUUUUUGAAAUGUGGCCAUAGUCUUCUAAUGGUCUUCCAAACACUGCAUCCAAAUGUGCCCAUCACCUCUUCAGUUGUCCAUUGGUUAAAUAAACCAUACUUUCCUGAUAUAAAUCUCUUCUAUAAGGCUCUAUAUUCUAUACAGAAUGUCCAUAGCCACUUUUGGAGUAAACUACUGUUUUAGAGACUUAGGUCCUUCAACCCUAGCCUCCUUGGUUUUUGCUAAGUGUGAGAGUAUCCCACUUCACCAAGUUGUAGCCUUCCCUUUCCUUAUUGCCUUGCCAAAGAAAAGAUAUCCUGAGCCUAUUUAUUUUCUUCUCAAUGUUCUUGGGGACUGGAAAUAAACUCAUCAUAUAAGUAGGUGAUUCAUCUAAUACUGUCUUGAUGAGGGUCACCCUACCACCUAUGGACAAAUACUAGCUUCUUCACCGGGCUUAUUUUCUCCCACAUCUCUCCAACACCACAUUGCACACUUCCAGCUCUUUGUUCUUAGCACCCAAAGGUAGUUCCAGAUAUUUUGUUGGUUGUGCAUCUACCUAGCAACUCAAUGUCUCAACUAGCCCAAGAAAAUUGUCAACUUGCUUGAUAUGGAGGAGAUGACUCUUCAGCCAAUUGACAUGGAGGCUUGAAAUGCUCUGCUAAAUAGUGAGUAUUGCCCUUAUGUGUCUAAUUUGUUCCUCCUUUGCCUCAUAGAAUAUAAGAGCAUCAUCAACAUAGAAUAAAUGUGUUAUCUGCAGCUCCUUCCCUCUCCCAGAAAGUGCACUAAAUCCUCUCCAACCCAUUACUCUUUGCCUUCCGGAACAUGUGAUUCAACCCCUUCAUGGCUAUUAAGAAUAGGAAUAGGGACAUAGGAUCUCCCUGUCUAAGACCUCUCUGAGAUUGGAAGAAUCCUUCAGUGUUUCCAUUUAUGAGGAGGGAAAACUUCACACUUGAAAUGCAGUUAUUGAUCCAGCCAAUCCACUUGCUACCAAAUCCCAUGUCCUUUAGUUUUUUUAGAAGGAAAUUCCAAUUAACAUGUUCAUAGGUUUUCUCAAUGUCUAGCUUGCAUAGAAUCCUAGGUUUUUUCUGCCUUACCUUGGAGUUGACCAUUUCAUUAGCCAACAAUGCUGCAUCCAUUAUUUGCCUACAUCUUAAAAAAGACAUUUGGUGUUCAUCAACCAAUUUCACUAUCACUGUCUUCAUUCUCUCAGAUAGCAACUUGGAGUUGAUUUUAUUGACUACUCCUAUCAAACUGAUAGGUCUAAAGUCUUUUAGCUCAAUUGCAUCAGGUUUCUUUGGGAUUGAAGGGAUCAAUAUAGCAUUAAAUGAUUUCUCAAACGCACUCCUUUGAUGGAAAUUUUUUGUGCUCAACAUUCAGUUCUCUUUCAAAAUAUCCCAACAUUUCUUAAAGAAAUCCAUAGUGAAGUCAUCAGGGUCUGGUGCUUUGUCCCCGUCAUACUGGUUGAUGAUCAAUAACACUUCCUCUUCUGUAAAUGGUCUUUGUAACCAUUCAUUUUCUUCUAUAGACUGUUGGACAUCCUACAAAAUGAAAAGAGGGUCUCUAGGAUUCAAGUUCCGAGUAGAGUCUGGCAUUUAAUUCAUAUGACAUGGCUAUAAAAUAGGUUGCUUUAGUGGUUCCAAAUCCCACAAUGUUAUGUGUUGAGCCAUCAACUACCAUUACUUGAGAGGGUUCUUUGUGUGAUCGAAAGGUAGAAAAUAUAUUAGGAUUACGUGUCAUGUAAUUACUAGUACCUGUAUCAAUCACCCAGUUGUUCAAAGAGGAGAUCGCAUAUGCUUUUCUUGAAUCAACAAGGGUAGUAACUGAAGUGAAUUCUUUAAGGGAUUCUUGAUACUAAGAGGACUCGCAAACUCAUUCGCCGAAACCAAAAUUGUCUUACCCUAAUAAUUUAUAUUUAUUUGAGUUAUAGUUUCAACUCAAAAUAUUAAUAUAGGAGAAGCUAACAAACACAAACAAUACCAACAUAUACAAUCCAGUACUGAAAAGGCAAUUUGUUAAUAUCAAGACAUGCAAAAUUUUAUGGCAAAAUUUUAUGGGAUUAAGUCCAUAUAAAAUUUGAACGAAUUUAUAAAUUCAAGACAUAUUGACCUAAGUGAACAUUUUGGGUUAAUACAGCCAAAUUAAUUAUUUAAGUCAAGAUUGCAUGACUUAAGUCAAACCCAACUACAUUGGGCUAGGUUGGGCUUCUACAAAAUGGUCCACCCACAUGUUUUAAGACCAAGGGUCCAUUAGGAUUACUUGGAGACUACCGUAAAACCUUUCAUUCAUGCCUAUAUAAAAUAAAAAGGCUACAUAUUCUCUUUGGAGGCAUCUUGAAAAUUCUAUAACAUCUUGGCAGAUUCUAAGAUGGGAUUGGACAAAGACAAGAGAGUGCUCAACUGGAACAACGGCCAACAAAGACCAAUUACUUAGAUAACGAUUCUUCCCCUUCUCCUUUAAGGCUUUAAGGCGAACUGUAUGGAUGUAGGAAAGAAAGACGUCCUCACCUUCUCUAGUGUUAGUGAGAGCAAUUUGAGUAUCCUUCAUGCACCUCCUUUCGUAGAUAGAAUCUUAAUGAGUGGAAACAAGCAACCUUACUAAGAAAGGUGCUUUUUGAGUAAGGCCCACUUUCAAGCCAACCCUUGGUAUAGGUUGGGAACUUGAGCGCAUGAUUGGUCCAUUGAAGAUUGUACAAGCCCAACGCAGGCAUGCAUACACUUAUAUCAUGAUCAUGUCAAUGCCAUCAACAAGCCAAAUAUCAUUUAUUUGUUCUAUUAAGUACUUCUUUCACGUCAUUAGCUUUAAAAAAUUGUCUCCCUUUACUGGUUCACCUCGAUGAAAAACUUAAGAAUUGCCUAGCUUCAGAAGGUCAUCAAUAAUAUUUGAUUCCAAGAAAUUAGCAACCAAUUCACCCAAAAAAAUAAUUGUAGUCGAUAGUCAAAUACCAGAUUUAUUUGACAUCAAGAACAAGCAUCCACAAAAAACUAUUAAUUCAAUAUUGAGCAAAACUCCGCAAAUCACGACAACACCAAACUGAAACAAGAUCUAAAUCUCUGAAGGAGAGACUAGCAUACUAGAACAUUAAUUGUCCCGAACAACAUGUUUUCGCCCUAGUCUAUUUCCAUUAUUAUGUAUUGCCAGCUUGGAAAGGGAUCUUCACGUGAUAUUCAAUUAGAGGAAAUACGUGUAAGCACCGUUUGUCUUAGCAACAAGUUACUCAAAAAUAUCUCUAGAACUAAAGUUUUUAUGAAGACCAAAUACACCUAUGAGAUAUAUGAAGAUGUACUCUAUCCACCUAAAAAUAUAAUAAGAUAUGAGAUGUUUAGAAGCACACCAACGUGGUGAUUGAGAAAUAAGAAAUUUUGAAAUUCCAUUUUAGUAAAAAUGUAAGUAGUGCAAUCAAAUACAAGAAAUGAUAUAAACAUCAAUUCAGAUUAUUAAUGUCGUCUUCAAGAACUGUACUGGACACUGACCUGUGUUCCUGUUCUGUCCAAGAAGCCCCUUUUCGCCAUUCUACAUCUACAAAAAAUGAUAUAAACAUCAAUUCAAAGUAUUAACUCUGGUUUUGCAUUUCAGGAUAAUUAGAUAAUGUACAUAUCCAGACUCGAUGAUAUUGGUAUCUUCAAUUAAUACAUUACAAUGAUCCUUAAUAACAUCCGUCAAUUUCCCAAGAAGUGCUUUUGCCACUUCCUCCAAUAGAUUGUUGUUAUCCUUGUUGAUCGCAAAAGUAUUCUCAAAGAUUUUAUUCUCCUCCUUAGUCCAGAAGGAGUUAUUGCAUGUUCGAUCAGUGUUCAUUUUCUUUUAGAUCUACAAGGUUAGCUCAAACAUGAAAAAGGUAAGCUCUUCAAGAGGAUUCAAAAAACGGAUAAGUGUCAAUAUAUAACCAAAAUUUAUCAUAACUAUCGGGCAUCUAAAAUAAGAUUUUUUGUAACCCCUGACACUUAGAAAUCAGAAACAAUCUCAACAACACACAAUCUUCUAAAUCAGUUAUGGAUACUAAGAGAGACUAUUUCUGACACACACUUGGCUCAAGUUACUUUUCUUAGUAUCCAUAACUGAUUUAAAAGAAUGUGUGUUGCCGCGAUUGUUUUUGAUUACUAAGUGAUAGAGGUUACAAAAAAUCUUAUUUUAGAUGCCCGAUAUUUAUGGUAGUUUUUGGUUAUAUAUUGACACUCCUCCGUUUUCUUAAUCCUCUUGAAGAGCUUUAUCUUUUUCAUGUUAAAGCUUUCGUUGUUGAUCUAAAAGAAAAUGAACACCGAUCGGACAUGCAAUAACUCCUUCUAGACUAAGGAGGAGGAUAAAAUCUUUGAGAAUACUCUUGCGAUCAACGAAGAUAACAACAAUCUAUUGGAGGAAAUGGCAAAAGCACUUCUUGGGAAAUUGACGGAUGAUAUUAAGGAUCACUAUAAUAUCUUAAUUGAAGAUACCAAUGCCAUCGAGUCUGGAUAUGUCCCAUUACCUAAUUAUUCUGAAAUGCAAAACCAGAAUUCAAAAGCAUAUGUAGAAUGGUGAAAUGGGGCUUCUUGGACCAAAUAGGAACACAUGUCAGUUUGCAGUACAGUUCUUGAGGACGACAUUAAUAAUCUGAAUUGAUGUUCAUAUCAUUUCUUGUAUUUGAUUAGACGUCUUACAUUUUUACUAAAACGGAAUUUCAAAAUUUCUUAUUUUUCAAUGACCACGUUGGUGUGCUUCUAAACAUCUCAUAUAUUAUUAUAUUUCUAGGUGGAUAAAGUACAUCUUCAUAUAUUUCAUAGGUGUAUUUGGUCUUAACUGCAUCACCAAUAUAAUACAAAGUAUUAAUUCCAACUUCUGAGUUCCACAAUAUUUUCAGAUUAAAUAUGUAGGUUUUUACUUUUUAAAAUUGUCAAUGGUUAGGCUUGCUUUCAUGAGAAGUGGAUGAGUAUUUGUAAGAUAAUAAUUUUGAAGUGGAUGAGUAUUUGUAAGACCAAACCAUUGUCUCACAGGCUCCAUCUUUGAGUUUAACCCAUCUCCCAAAUUAAUCUUCCCUACUCCUCACCGACCAACAAUGCACUUUCACAGAGCCAAAACCCAGAACAAUUCGCUUUCGUUUAACCCCAUCUCGCCCGCCAACUGUUCGAUACAAUUCCUCAACCAACAAUUGUCCUUUUGGAACACAAUUAUCAUUGGGUUUAUCUGUAAUAACAUGCCCCAUGAAGCAAUUUCAUUCUAUUUCGAUUGAAACAUGUGGGUUCAUCCGUAUGUGAUCAGUAUACUUAUUCCUCUGUUAUCAAGGCUUGCGCGGAGACCAAACGGAUUCUUGUAGGUAAUGCUGUGCAUUGCCACAUUCUGAGUUCUGGGAUUCGUCCUAGUAGGAUUGUUAGUAAUUCUUUGUUGAAUAUGUACUCUGCUACUUGUCUUACAUUGGAUAAUGGUUCUGAUUGUGAUUUUGUUGAAAGGGUGUUUAGAACUAUGCGUAAAAGAAUGUUGUUGGGUGGAAUACUAUUUUUUCUUGGUAUAUGAAAAGGAAGAGGUUUUCGGAAGCAGUGAGGUGCUUUGUUAUGAUGAUGAGAUUAGGCAUUAAGCCAACUGUUGUUAAUUUUACUAAUGUUUUUCCUGCUGUAUCAGAAACAGGGGAUGUUAGAGUUACUGAUUUUCUUAAUGGAUUGCUUGUGAAAUUGGGUAAUGCAUAUGUAAAUGACCUGUUUGUUGUUAGUGCUGCUAUUGUUAUGUAAGCUGAGCUUGGCUGUGUUGAUUUGGCGACCAGAAUAUUUGAGAAUACUUGUGAAACAAAUACAGAGAUCUGGAACUCAUGAUUAGCGGGUACAUUCAGAACAAUUUUCCUUUUAAAGCAGUUGAUCUCUUUCUUGAAGCUGUAGAAGCAGAGGAUGCUGUUACUACUGAUGAUGUGACAUUUGUAUCUGCUCUUAUGGCAACUUCACAGUUGCAGCAUUUUGAGUUUGCCCAACAGCUACAUGCAUGUCUGAUAAUGAAAUGCAGGGAUUCACAGGUUAUUUCGUUUAAUGCUAUGAUAGCCACAUAUUCUAGGUGUAACCAUAUUGGCAAUUCACUUUAAGUUUUUAAUGGAAUGAAGGAAAGAUAUAUUGUGUCAUGGAACACCGUGGUGUCUGCUUGGUACAGAACGAACUGGAUAACGAGGCUUUGAUGCUUGUAUAUGAGAUGAAAAAGCUAUGGGGUUGCAAUUGAUGAUAUAACAAUUACCAUCCUGCUUUCUGCGGCAUCAAAUCUUAGGGACAGGGAAAUUGGUAAACAGACCCAUGCUUAUCUUCUGAGGCACAAUUUUCAAUUUGAAGGGAUGGAGAGUUACCUGAUAGUCAUGUAUGCCAAAUCUAAUAUGAUUAGAGAAGAACGAGCAAUAUUCCAGUUGAACUUCACAUAUGAUAAAGAUCAAGCCACGUGGAAUGCUGUGAUUGCUGGAAACACUCAGAAUGGAUUAAUUGAACAAUCCUUUGUUGUCUUCAAGGAGAUGCUUGAGCAGAAUGUGAAGCCAAAUGCUGUGACCUUAGCAACAAUCCUCCCAUCAUGCAGCCAGUCAGGAAGUAUAGCAAUAGGCAAGCAGCUACAUUAUUUUGCAAUUCGCUAAUUGUUUGAGGACAAUGUUUAUGUUGUUUCUGCUUUGGUAGACAUGUAUUCAAAAUCAGGAAUCAUUGAUUAUGCUGAAAGUGUUUUCUAAAAUCUCCUGAGAAGAACUCUGUGACAUAUACAAAUAUGAGUUUGGGAUAUGGCCUUCAUGGGAUGCGUAGGAAAGCUCUAAAACUGUUCUACUCUUUGCGGCAGAAUGGUUUAGAACCAGAUGCUGUUACCUUUGUGGCAGUCCUGUCUACUUGCAGCUACACCGGAUUGGUUGAUUAAGGCCUUCAAAUAUUUGAGCUGAUGGGUGAAGAAUAAGGGAUUCAGCCGUCAGCAGAGCACUAUGCUUGUGUGGUUGACAUGUUAGGAAGAGUUGGACGGUUGGAUGAAGCUCAUAAUUUUGCUAAACAGUUGGGUGUUGAGGGUAAUAACUUGGGAAUAUGGGGAUCACUCCUUGCAGCCUGCAGAGUGCAUAGAAAUUUUGAAUUGGGGAAAAUUGUUUCCAGUUAGCUGCUUGAAUUCGAGGGGAAUGAUGGAAUUUCUGGUUAUCAUGUUCUGCUUUCAAAUAUAUAUAUGCAGAGGAAGGAAACUGGCAGUCUGUAGAUAACGUCAGAAGAGGAAUGCGCAAAAUGGGAUUGUCAAAGGAGGUUGGGUGUAGUUGGAUUGAUACUUCUGGAUAUCCACACUGUUUUGUAUCUAAAGAUAAGAAGCUUCCUCAGUACUGCAUGAUAUAUGAUAUGUUGGGAUAUUUAACCAUCAAUAUGUAGGAUGCUGGCUAUAAACCUAAACUUGAACUAAUAGAAGAGUGGAUCUAUGGGCUAGAAGAAUGAAAAGCUAUUAGUUCUCCCACAAUGUUGUUGUUCUCCGACUAUGUACCUUUGUAUUCAUGACAUUUUUGGACAGGAUUUUGCUAGAGUUAAUAUGAUCGUAGUUUAUCAGUGACCAGCUGCCUUUGAAAUUCGAGGUAAUUAAGUUGUGUUUUAGCUUUUUUUAGUUUAGUUUUUUCUUCUGAAUUAUGCUUUUUUAGUUUGUAAAGAUACUCGGAAGUAGGAUAUUCAGUUAGUGAAAUGUAUGCAUAUUUCUUUAUUAAUACAGAGCAAUCAAGAAUAUCCAUUUUACCUUUUUGGUGGGAAAGGAGGAGUCCCAGGUAGCAAAAGAAUGGUCUUAUCCAAGGCGACAACUUCUAUCAUGCUGUCAGAUUGAGUGAAGCACAUUUAAAUUAGGUGACCAGUUCUUUCCUUUGAAUGACUUAUACUUGUUCUGCAGGUUGACUUUUAAACUAUUGUAUUAAGGAUAUUUGAUAUAGUGUUUGCAAGUUCAUGAGUGUUCUUAUAUUGGAGCCAAAUGGCAUUAAUAACACUUGUUAAGGUUGGUCCGGAUAACUAUUAAUAUGUCUGCUAAGGUUGGUUCAGCUAAUCAUAGUAUGUGAAUAUCAAUGGAACUGGCAUAAGUGGAGUUUUUCAUUUCUGAAAAUGGUUCUGAAGCUACAACAAAUCAUAUAGAUAAGAUAAUCUCUGAAAUUUUCCUUAUUAGGCUGUCGGCUUAUAUUAUUGGACAUUGACAAACAAAACUUUCUAUAAAUUAGGUCUAGUUCUAGUGAUUAGUAGGAGGUUUUAUUGAGUAAAUAUGUAUAUAUACUUUUGCCAACCAAUUAAGAUUCGAGUCCAUAUUAUCUUUGCUUGGUUUAUUAGGUUCCACAUGCUUGCUUUCAAGCUGCUUGUGUCAAUUUAAUGUGAAUUAUUGCCCUUCAGUUUUCACAAGGGACAAAGGGCGUAACGGCAUCUUAUUUUGGAGUUUUUGUCUUUUUGGAUAAGGUAAAUAAUUUUACUAAGAGUUAAUGGUCAAAAACACAUCCAAACUAUCACUUUUUGCGAGUUUCAUACCUCAACUAUCAUUGUUCGCUUUACCUACCUAAACUAUCACCCUUGUUGUAUUAUAACUCACCUUGGUGUUGGGUGGUUCAUUUGUGAACAUGUAGGGUAUAGAAUGGUUGUUUAUUAUCUUAAGAUAAUAUGCUUAAGUGAGUGAGAAACUGAUAAAGUCAUAUGGUACAUUAAUUCCGCUUGAUCCUAACAUUCGUAAUUUCUAAAUAUCUCUCGAUUAUCAAAAGGGGUUCCAUCAUCUUUCAUAAGAUGCACAUUGUGAACUAGUAGUGUACUACAGGGUUUGGCAUCCAAUUUUCCAGUUUCUACAAGUAGGUCAAGAAUGUACUUUCUGUGUGAUAGAAAAAUUUCCUUCUUUCUUCUAUUCACUUCUACUUCCAAAAAGUAUUUCAACUCGCCUAUGUCCUUCGUAUGAAACCUAGUAGUGCCAGUUGCAGAUAAUCGAUAGAAAACAAAGUGAUCACUAUGCUCAUUUUCAGCCCACACACCUAAACUACCUCACUAGACUUGCCAAACCAAUCUCAGGGACUCUGGUUUAAGCCAUACAAGGACUUUUGAAAUUUUAUUUUAGUAAAAAUGUAAGUCGUGCAAUCAAAUACAAGAAAUGAUAUAAACAUCAAUUCAAAUUAUUAAUGUCGUCCUCAAGAACUGUAUUGGACACUGACAUGUGUUCCUGUUCUGUCCAAGAAGCCCCUUUUCGCCAUUCUACAUCUACAAGAAAUGAUAUAAAUAUCAAUUCAGAUUAUUAAUUUUGGUUUUGCAUCUUAGGAUAAUUAGGCAAUGCGACAUAUUCAGACUCGAUAACAUUGAUAUCUUCAAUUAAUACAUUACAGUGAUCAUUAAUAUCAUCAGUCGAUUUCCCAAGAAGUGCUUUUGCCAUUUCCUCCAAUAGAUUGUUGUUAUCCUUGUUGAUCGCAAGAGUACUCUCAAAGAUUUUAUCCUCCUCCUUAGUCUAGAAGGAGUUAUUGCAUGUCCGAUCAUUGUUCAUUUUCUUUUAGAUCUACAAGGAAAGCUCAAACAUGAAAAAAGGUAAGCUCUUGAAGAGGAUUCAGAAAUCGGAUGAGUGUCAAUAUAUGACCAAAAACUACUAUAAAUAUCGGGCAUCUAAAAUAAGAUUUUUUGUAACCCCUAACACUUGGUAAUCAGAAACAAUCACAGCAAGGCACAUUCUAUUAAAUCAGUUAUGGAUACUAAGAAAAGUAAUGAGUGACUAGUAAAAGAAACAAACAUGAAGAUACAUGUGGUAUACUACCACAGAAGUCCCCAGAGAUGCGAAAUAUAUUAUGAAAGCAUUUGCAUUCUUUACCUUUUCUAUCGGACGAAAGGUUUUAUAAUAAGAAAGAAGAGUCCAAAGAAGAAAACUAUUUGUCUCAAGAUAAGAAAAAAAAUAUAUCAUUGAGUAUAUAUUUUUGUUUUUGUUAGUGAUGCAAAAAAAAGAUUUAUGGCCUUGUACCACAUAACGGGAAAGAAAUCAUGUCAAUCCAACAUAUGCUAUCAAAAAAAGGGAAAACCCAGAUUCCCUUGUAACACAAUCUAACCACUAAUAACUAGGGAAUGUGCUAAGACAAAAUAUAUCCUGGGCAAGAAAUCAAAAGAAAAGCUAUACAAAUUCUUGUUUUUCCUUUUUGAGAAACUCAAAUCUCUACACAUUAAUUUUCAGCAAUGGAAACCAUAUUAAAGAAGAGUCCCUAGAAAGUGGUGACACAAUUUCUCUCUCCUGAGAUAGAAACAAGAUGAAUCUCACGAUAAUUCAAGUAGGUCAGUAUCACUUUGCAUCUCUUCAGAAUCUACACCAAAAACAAUAUAUAAAUCAACCAUUUGUGAUUGAGUGCACAUUCUCUUUUGUCGUCAUUAUCUUUAUACAUCAUGAAAUAGCAAAUUAUUGAUCAUUUGAAUGGAAGAUUUACAGAACCAACAAGCAAUAACAUACGAAGUGUAAUCCCAUAAGUGAGUCUGGGAGGGUAGUGUGUACCUAGACCUUACCCCUACCUUGAGAGGUAGAGAGGCUAUUUUCGAUACACAUUUGACUCAACGAAAAACAUAUAGAGUGGAUUCGAUAAAGGGAAGGUUUACAAAACCAACAACAACAUCAUAUUCAGUGAAAUCUCACAAGUGAGGUAUGGGAAGGGUAGAGUGCCUAUAAACCUUACCCUACCUUGGGAAGUAGAGAGGUCAUUUCUGGCUGAUCCUUAACUCAAGGAAAAACAUAUCAAAGCAAAUCGAAAAAGGAAAGCUUUAUAGAACCAUGACAUAAAAUCUUAAAGGGAAAGAUAUGAACGAUCUUACUUUUUCCCUUCAAAGAACUAAUCAUAUCUCUAAAAAUUAACUUUCCUAAAUACAAAGCAUGUUAAAGAAGAGUACCAAAAAACGUCAGCACAACUAGCAGAACCUGAUGAUCACAAAGCACAAUCAAAACAAACUUCUGAGUGAAUCAAUCUACAGUUAUAAGUUUUAUCACCUAUGAAAACAAGCAUUCAACCAAAAAGGAAUCAGACACAUAUAUGUACUUAUAACUGAGAUAGAUUCGUCUUUGGUUGAAUGCUUGUUUUCAUAGGUGAUACAACUUAUAACGGUAGAUUGAUUCACUCAGAAGUUUGUUUUGAAUGUGCUUUGUGAUCAUCAGGUUCUGCUAGUUCUGCUAACGUUUUUUGGUACUUUUCUUUAACAUGCUUUGUGUUUAGGAAAGUUAAUUUUUAGAGUUAUGAUUAAUUCUUUGAAGGGAAAAAACAAGAUCUUUCAUGUCUUUCCUUUAAGAUUUUUUGUAAAGCUUUCCUUUUUCGAUAUGUUUUUCCUUGAGUUGAGGGUCAGUUAGAAAUGAACUCUCUGCCUCCCAAGGUGCGGUAAAGGUCUAUAAACACUCUACCCUCCCCAUACCUCACUUGUGGGAUUUCACUGGACAUGAUGUUGUUGUUGGUUUUGUAAAUCUUCCCUUUCUCGAUCCACUUUAUAUGUUUUCCUUGAUCCAAGUGUGAAUUGAAAAUAGCAUUUCUACCUCUCAAGGUAGGGGUAAGGUCUACGUACACUCUACCGUCCCCAGACUCACUUGUGGGAUUACACUUGGUAUGUUGUUGGUUCUGUAAAACUUCCAUUCAAAUGAUUAAUAAUUUGUUAUUUCAUGAUGUAUAAAGAUAAUGACGACACAAGAGAAUGUGCAGUCAACCACAAAUGGUUGAUUUAUAUAUUGUUUUUGCUGUAGAUUCUGAAGAUAUGCAAAGUGAUACUGACCUACUUGAAUAUCAUGAGAUUCAUCUUGUUUUUAUCUCUGGAGAGAAAAAUUGUGUCAACAUUUUCUAGGGACUCUUCUUUAACAUGAUUUCCAUUGUUGAAAAUUAAUGUGUAGUAAUUUGAGUGUUUCUCAAAAAGGAAAAGCAAGAAUUUGUAUAGCUUUCCUUUUGAUUUCUUGUCCUGGAUAUAUUUUGUCUUAACAUUCCCUAGUUUUAAGUGGUUAGUUUGUGUUACAAGGGAAUAUAGGUUUUUUCUUUUGAUAACAUAUGUUGGAUUGACAGGAUUUCUUUUCCAUUAUGUGCCAUAGAUUAUUUUUUUUGCAUCACUAACAAGAACAAAAAUAUAUACUCAAUGAUAUAAUUUUUUCUUAUCUUGAGAUGAAUAGUUUUCUUCUUUGUACUCUUUUUUUGAGAUAAAAUCAUACACAAAAUGGUGGGGUACGCCAGGCCAAUGCAGUAGUGCAACGCAAGAGCCCAGGCAACAAACUACCUUAAUGGACUCUUCCCCUUAAAAAUUAAGUUAAUAUCGUGUGGACCAAUGGCCCACAUAUCAGAUAUUAAACUGAUAAGAACAGAUACUACACUUGAUCUUAGCCAAAAGGCCGAGAAAGGUAUUCUUCUUUCUUAUUAUAAAACCUUCCGUCCGAUAGAAAAGGUAAAGAAUGCAAAUGCUUUCAUAAUAUGCUUCGUAUCUCUGGGGACUUUUGUGGUAGUAUACCACAUGUUUGUUCCUUUUACUAGUCAUUCAUUACUUUUCUUAAUAUCCAUAACUGAUUUAAAAGAAUGUGACUUGCCACGAUUGUUUCUGAUUACUAAGUGUCAGGGGUUACAAAAAAUCUUAUUUUAUAUGCCCGAUAUUUAUAGUAGUUUUUUGUCAUAUAUUAACACUCAUCCAUUUUCUGAAUCCUCUUCAAGAGCUUACCUUUUCUUUUUUUUUUGAUGACAAGGGAAACCCUCAGCUGCUACCCUUUGGGUGCGCACAGGGUAAAACCCCCACUCCUAUGCAAUAGCUCGCAAACCACAUAGGAGAUGUAACCCGCACUAGGCAAGCCCGGUGCGACGAGCUCGACCCAGAAGGCAAACCCCUUGCUUUCGCUGGCAAGGGGUUUCGAACUUGAGACCUCCAACAUGGAAGUCCCAAACCACUGGGCCACCCCGAAGAGUCUUACCUUUUUCAUGUUUGAGCUUCCCUUGUAGAUUGGAAAAUGAACACCGAUCGGACAUGCAAUAGCUCCUUCUGGACUAAGGAAGAGGAUAAAAUCUUUGAGAAUACUCUUGCGACCAACGAGGAUAACAACAAUCUAUUGGAGGAAAUGGCAAAAGCACUUCCUGGGAAAUCACUAUAAUAUCUUAAUUGAAGAUAUCAAUGUCAUCGAGUCUGGAUAUGUCCCAUUACCUAAUUAUCUUGAAAUGCAUAACCAGAAUUCAAAAGCACAUGUAGAAUGGCUAAAAGGGGCAUCUUGGACAGAACAAGAACACAGGUUCUGAUUCCAGUACAGUUCUUGAGGACGACAUUAAUAAUCUGAAUUGAUGUUUAUAUCAUUUCUUGUAAUUGAUUGCACGACUUACAUUUUUACUAAAACGGAAUUUCAAAAUUUCUUAUUUCUCAAUGACCACAUUGGUGUGCUUCUAAAUAUCUCAUAUAUUAUUAUAUUUCUAGGUGAUAGAGUACAUCUUCAUAGGUGUAUUUGGUCUUAACUGCAUUACCAAUAUAAUACAAAAUAUUAAUUCUGAGUUCCACAGUAUUUUCCGAUCAAAUUUGUAGGCUUUUAAUUGUCAAUGGCUAGGCUUGCUUUCAUGGGAAGUAGACUGACUCUUCUUCAUAUACAUCAAACGAUUCAUGAAACUGUAACCACUCCACUUGUUGAUUGCAGGUUAGGUCUCCUCAGAUGAGGCUCUAUAUCUAAAAUGUCAACUCAGCCUGGGGUAUAACAACUGUGUGUGCCCGCUGAACUUAAUUUCUUUGUCAAAAUGAAUGGAAACUUGAGACCAAGAGGCCGAGUUUGAUAGAAAUUUGUUCAACUUACAAAGCCAUGCCAAAUAUAAAUUGUGGCAAAGCAAAUCUAUUUUUGAGUGCUUCAGUUGUCUUGACUCUCUUGCAACUUUCAGUUCAAGAAUCAGACAUCCUGUAUAUUCUAGCGACACCAAAUUUGGAGCAUCAAUCUUCCUUGUGCCACCCGAAUCGUCCUUAAUCUUCAAGACGUUUUGGAAUUGAGAUCUAGAAAUAAGGUGCUCGAGAUUCCAUCACAUGUCCACAUGAGGUGAUAUGAUAUAUCUAAAGAUUUCAGAUUCUAACAUUCAAUAACAUCCAAAUUGUCCGGUGAAGAACUAGAAUAAUAUAAGUGUUCAAGAUUGAUGCUUUAACACCCUGGUUUCUUGUUGUACAAAUAGAAACUGACUUGAUCUUUUGAAGAUUUAGCAGCUCAAUCUUUUUCAACCUUCUGUAACAAUGCUCAAGUGUGAGUUAGUGAUUGACUUCCAUCUCCAACUACUUUCUUAGAAGGCUUUACAUUUGAGUGAGGAGCACUAAAAGUAUUUUUGACCUCCAUCACCUGACAAAAAAGUAACAGCAUCGCAAAAAAGAUCGCGUUGAAGUUGGUUAUAAGUGAAUUUCGUCAUCUGAAUAGCUAAAUAAUCAUUUGGCAAAGGUAGUUCUUAAAUGUUUACUUCUUUUUCCUUCUAUCUUUGUAUACAUUCUUUGUUUCCGGGCAGGGGGUGAAGGACAUAAGAGAAGAUUUUCCUAUAGGUAAGGAAGAGGUGAAAAUGGAGCAUUAGUCACUGAGCCCAUGGACGAAGAUAAUGAUAUCAGUUCCAUUUUUUAUGUUGGGAAAGCACCAACUGCUCAUAGAGGAAUGUCUGGUUAUAUAUGCAGCUGCAGGGGAGGCUCCUGCUUAGUCACAUCCCUUUGCCCCCUCAGCUAAACUCCCGUUGACGAUGAAGACUUUUUUUAUCUGCAUGACUUGUUCACAGAUCAGACGUUCUGAUUUGGUGGAGGAAAAGCUGUUCAUGUUGAUAUUAGUUGCUCACAACCAGAUAGGUUGUUAACGUUGAUACUGCACUUAGGUUUUUGCAGACUUAUUACAUUAUGUUAGACAGUAUUGCUAUUCUUUAACGUAUGUUUAUCAAUUAAAUGAUCAAAAUGGUCCUUAAUGUAUGGGGUUGAACUAUUUUAGUCAUUCAUAUAUACCUCGUAAUCAUAGUAAAAGUGACCCUUUUCCUACAGCCACCACCCUUAAUGUAUCACUUUUUUUGUACAUUAAGGACUACUUCGAUUACAUGGUAUAUAUGGACUAAAAGGAUUACUUUUCUGUACAUUAAGGACUAUUUCUGUUUGAACACCCCCUUCUGACAUAUUAUGUGAACUCCUUGUCUUGUGAAAGUAAUUGCCAAUGUGGUUUUUAGUUGUUGCAGCAAAUAUAUUUCUGGUAAUUCACAGCAAAGUUCACAUUGAAAACAAAACACUGAGAGAGUGUCCAUGAACAUCCCUUUGCCAUCUGAAGCAAGUAAAAGGCGUAUAGAUACCACUAGUUCUAUGAGUUCAACUGAACUUAUUGUCUUCGACUCAACCUAAACAAAAGAAAGAAAAUGCAUGCAUACGUAUAAUAAGAUCACAGUCAUUCUGAACUCAUUAACUGGUUAUUAUUGUCUAACUUUGAAAUAUGCGCUUUGCUAGUUAUCUCAAAUCUUGUCAUCAGUAUCACCUUCAAUUGGAGCUGCUACAUUUAUGUAUAGCUUCUGGCCAUUGAUGCAACUACCAUAAUUGCCGGAUUUGAAGAAAUAAUCUCCAGGUACCAACAUGAAUGCUAUUGCUGGACUAUCUUUGUGCUGCUUUGAAGGAGUGCUGGAAUUGCAUGCAUAAUAGUUGUAUUUUCCAAUCUCCAACAAAUCCUCUGGCUUUUGGAAUCUAAAUUCUACAAAUAAAAUGGUACCAAAACAUAUUAAUGCUUGUAAAAUUAGAUACAAUAUGUAUAUAGGUACACGAAAAAUAACUUUCUAAAAGAUAAAUAAAGUUAUGAACCAUAUUCAAAGGGAGUGAAUUGACACCCCUUGCCAGAAAAACCAACACUUUUAUUGAUUUGAUUUGGUUUAUGAAGUUAUAAAACCGACAUAGCUGGUUUGAUUUGGUAAAUGAAAAAAUCGAACUAAAGAACCAUCUAUAUGUACACCCCUAAAAUUAGUUAGUACCUUUAUAUCCUUUCAAACAUAGCUAAAGAAAGACUUCAGGCCAAAUUAGAUAUGAGGAAAGGAUGAAAUGACAAGAAGAGUGCUUGGUGAGGAGACAACACGAGGAGGAAAUUCUCGCGACUAAGGAAGCACGUCCCUUAAAGGGAAAGCCAGAGAAGGAGCCUGCUGGACAGCCUCACCUUCUGCUCCCAAAUUAGCAUAUCCAAAUUAUGAGAAAGCCUAUAGACGCUGCAAUUGCAGAAUUUGCACCUUGCAAAUGUCUAUUUGUUCAAGUAUGUAAAUAAAUUGCACACACGAUUCAAUUAAUAAUGGAAAAUUGUAUAAAAUAGCAAAUUAUUAAUUCAAAAUAAAUGUUAUAACCAUAGUUUCAAUUAAUUUUGAUUUGUGGCAAACACUUUGCCAUUCGCCUCUCUCCCUUUAAUCUCGCUCGCCGCUCUCCCUCGCCUCUCUCACUUUAUACAAACACAAAUGUAUAAAUUGUGUUGGUGUUUGCAGUGGCGUACGCAUGAUUUUUUCUAAGCGGUGUCACAAUUAAAGAGACAAAAAUGGCUCAAGAAGAAAAUCAAUGAAAGUUUUGUUUUAGACCUCCAAAAAUUUGAGGCCUCUUUUAAUUAGAUAAUAUUUUAAAAUUUUAAAUUAAACCAUUCACAUCUUCAUAUUAUUAAAUAAAGUUUGAUUCAUUAUCUUGUUCUUCCAAGUCAGUUGUAGCUUGAGUCGUUAAAAUUGGCUUUGAACAUUUUUUAUUUUUUUUAGAAUAAUACUCUCCAUUAAAAAUUUAGACUAAUAUGAUGUGAUCUGCCCAAUAAAUAAUUGAGGAUCAAAUAAUAGAGGAUUGCGGACAAUUUUAAUCAAUUUAAUGAAUUCUAAAUUAUUUCAUUGUAACAAGUAGAUGGUAAAAAUUAAAAUUAAUUUUAUGAACAAAUAAAAAUAAAAAUUCAAGCACAUAAUAAAAAAAAUAGAAUAGCAAGAAAAUACUAACCUGAUGUGGAGAUUCGAGAUGUCGAUUAACAAUGAUUGAUGAACAAGAAUGGAAAGAAAAUUGAACAAACUCACACAAGUCAGAAAUAUACAAAUACAAGGAUUUAAGGAGUCAACACUAUUUUUAUUUAACUAUAAUCCUAAUUGAUAAAGGAGAUUUUGAGUUUUAUAUUAAUUCUAAAAAUAAAUAAAAAGUUGUUAGAUUUUGAAUGAAUUAGAGUGGGUGUGUAGGUUUUUAAUGAAGGGGCUAUUGUUUUGAAUUUUAAACAAAAAAUUAAUAAUUUUAAGAAAAGAAAAAAUUAAAACAUGAAUAAAACAAACAAAAAAAUGAAUAAAACAAACAAAAAACAUGAAUAAAAAAGAGAGAAAAAACAACCCCGGGGAAUCGAACCCGUGAUGUUUCGCACAUUAUGUUGUGCCUCUACCAUCUGAGCUAGGCGCAACCUGUUACAAGGGGAGUCCUUUCAAUUGUUUUAACCUUUAGUUGUUUUUUUGUUUGUUUUUUAUAUAGGUAUAUUCGGUAAAAAAAUUCGACGAAGCCGUGUCACUUGACACACCUUAGAUAUGCCUAAAUCCGCCUCUGGGUGUUUGUAUAAAGCGAGAGAAAACUGUAUAUACAAAUUUAAAUACAUGUCUCUUCGUCCUAUACACUUAUAAUUAUAUAAAUAUAAAUCUUCUCCUGCCCAGUUCGCGUUUGUCUUUCUUUCUUUCUCGCUUUAUACAAAAUACAAUGCAUAAUUUGUGUUUGUAUAAAACGAGAGAGAUUUGAUAUACAAAUAUAAUUGACGUUAUUAUAUUUGCAUUUAUGAAAAUAUUUAUCUCACAAAAAUUAGCUAUUAAGUAAAUAAUAAAAAUUAAACUAAUACAAACUUCAACUGACGUUAUUACAAGUCAUAUGAACUUUUCUUUGUCUAAAAUACUGAAAUAUUAAAAAAUAGUUAAUAAGUAAAACAAAAGGGUAAUGUUUAUAUAAUAAUAACUAUUCUGAAGCAAACUUCCUAACAAUCUAAAUCACACAAGUAACAUUGAUAAAUAAAGUUAUUCUUUUGUCUUAAGCAUAAAAAAAAUCGUGACAAUUCUCUAAAUUUUGAAAAAAGAUAUUCAGAAGCAUAUAUCUACAUCACAAGAGAAAUUGUUAACAAAAAUAAAUGAAUUUAGACUACAUCAUGUUAACUUCAUCUAUUGGAACAUUACAUACUAAUGUAUAUAUUAAGCAAAAAAAUAAUUAUUAUAUCAUCAAAAUUAUUUUCCUCAAGUACUCAAGGUUAUGGAAUAUACCCUUUUAGGAUAGAAGGACUUACUUCAUCAGAAUAAUGAUACUUCAUAUUCCGCUAAACUUCGAACUCAUCCAAUGACAAUAAAUCACACAAAAAAAAUUAUAAUGCAAGAAGAAGAGUAGAAGAUUAAAAAAAAUUGUUCAUCAGAAUAGUGGUUGACUAUAUAUUAUCUCUAUUUAUAGUUAACAAAGGAUAGUAUGAACAAAUAUUUUUUGUAUCUUAUCUGAAAAGUCAUGACAUUUCCGAGAAUUCACAACCCUUUGGAAAAGUCACAAUUUAUUGAAAAAGUCACAACUCUUUGGAAAAGCCACAACUCAUCGAAAAAUCACAACCCUUUGAAAAAAGUUACAACUUAUCGGAAAAGUCACAACUCAACAAAAAAGUCACAACCUAAGUUAGGGAUAUUAUAGUAAUUCAACAUUCAAGUUAUGAGUUCAUGUUUUUAAGGUAAUAUAGAUAUAAAAAAGAUAUAGAUAUAGAUAUAGAUAUAAAUAGAUAUAGAUUAAUUAAUUUAUAUAAAAAAAACAAUUACUCCAUCUGUUUCAAAAAGAAUGACCAAAUUUCCUUUUUAGUCUGUUUCAAAAAGAAUAACCAAAUUUCCUUUUUAGUCUGUUUCAAAAAGAAUGAUCCAUUUCCUUUUUUUGUAACACUUUAACUUUCCACGUGAUAUGUUUAAAACCACAAAAUUAAAGGACAUUUUAGUACAUUUAACAUAACUUUGAUUUAGAACCACUAGAUUAAAAAGUCAAACUAGGUCAUGAAGACUACUUGUUAGGUUAAAACUGAAAAAACAAAUUGAAAUAUUGAAGAGAAUGAGUAUUUGUACGACAAAACCAUUGUCUUCUUUCUCUUCCUUCAACUUUCUCACAGUCUCCAUCUUUGAGCUUAACCCAUCUCCCAAAUUAAUCUUCUCUACCCCUCACCGACCAAGAAUGCACUCUUACAGACUCAAAAUCCAGAACAAUUGGCUUUUGUUUAAGCGAAUCGUGAAGACAAGGCCAACCCCAUCUCGCCCGCCAACUGUUCGUUACAAUUCCUCAACCAUCAACUGUCCUUUGGAACACAAUAAUAGUUGGGUUUAUUUGUAAUAACAUGCCCCAUGAAGCCAUUUCAUUCUAUUCUCGAUUGAAACAUGUGGGUUCGUCCGUAUGUGAUCAGUAUACUUAUUCCUCUGUUCUCAAGGCUUGCACGGAGACCAAACGGAUUCUUGUAGGUAAAUCUGUGCAUUGCCACAUUCUGCGUUCUGGGAUUCAUACUAGUAGGAUUUUUAGUAAUUUUUUGUUGAAUAUAUACUCUGCUACUUGUCUUACAUCGGAUAAUGGUACUGAUUGUGAUUUAGUUUAAAGGGUGUUUAGAACUAUGCGUAAAAGAAAUGUUGUUGCAUAGAAUUCUAUUUUUUCAUGGUAUGUGAGAAGGAAGAGGUUUAUGGAAUCAGUGAGGUGUUUUGUUAAGAUGAUGAGAUUAGGCAUUAAGCCAACUGUUGUUAGUUUUAUACUUUUAUUAAUGUUUUUCCUGCUGUAUCAGAAAUAGGGGAUGUUAGAGUUGCUGAUGUUCUUUAUGGAUUGCUUGCGAAAUUGGGUAAUGCAUGUGUAAAUGACUUGUUUGUUGUUAGUGCUGCCAUUGUUAUGUAUGCUGAGCUUGGUUGCGUUGAUUUGGUGACCAGAAUAUUUGAGAAUACUUGUGAAAGAAAUACAGAGAUCUGGAACUCUAUGAUUAGCGGGUACAUUUAGAACAAUUUUCCUUUAAAAGCUGUUGAUCUCUUUCUUUAAGCUGUAGAAGCAGAGGAUGCUGUUACUACUGAUGAUGUGACAUUUGUAUCCGCUCUUAUGGCAACUUCACAAUUGCAGCAUUUGGAGUUUGCCCAAUAGCUACAUGCAUGUCUGAUAAAGAAAUGCAGGGAUUCACAGGUUAUUUCGCUUAAUGCUAUGAUAGCCACAUAUUCUAGGUGUAACCAUGUUCUACUCUUUGCAGCAGAAUGGUUUAGAACCAGAUGCUGUUACCUUUGUAGCAGUCCUGUCUACUUUCAGCUACACCGGAUUGGCUGAUACAGGCCUUAAAUAUUUGAGCUGAUGGGUGAAGAAUACGGGAUUCAGCCAUCAGCAGAGCACUAUGCUUGUGUGGUUGACAUGUUAGGGAGAGUUGGACGGUUGGAUGAAGCUCAUAAUUUUUCUUAACAUUUGGGUGUUGAGGGUAAUGUCUUGGGAAGAUGGGGAUCACUCCUUGCAGCCUGCAGAGUGCAUAUAAAUUUUGAAUUGGGGAAAAUUGUUUCCAGUAAGCUGCUUGAAUUAGAGGGGAGUGAUGGAAUUUAUGGUUAUCAUAUUCUGCUUUCAAAUAUAUAUGCAGAGGUAGGAAACUGGCAGUCUGUCGAUAGCGUCAGAAGAGGAAUGCGCAAAAUGAGAUUGUCACAGGAGGUUGGCUGUAGUUGGAUUGAUACUUCUGGAUAUCCACACUGUUUUGUAUCUAAAGAUAAGAAACAUCCUCAGUACUGCAUGAUAUAUGAUAUGUUGGCAUAUUUAACCAUCAAUAUGUAGGAUGCUGGCUAUAAGCCUAAACUUGAACUAAUAGAAGAGUGGAUCUAUGGGCUAGAAGAAUAAAAAGCUAUUAGUUCUCCCACUAUGUACCUUUGUAUUCAUGAUAUUUUGGACAGGAUUUUGCUAGAGUUCAUAUGAUUGUAGUUUAUCAAUGACCAGCUGCCUUUGAAAUUCGAGGUAAUUAAGUUGUGUUUUAGCUUUUUUUAGUUUAGUUUUUUCUUCUGAAUUAUGCUUUUUUACUUUGUAAAGAUACUCAGAAGUAGGAUAUUCAGUUAGUGAAAUGUAUGUAUAUUUCUUUAUUAAUACAGAUCAGUCAAGAAUAUCCAUUUUACCUUUUUGGUGGGAAACGAGGAGUCCCAGAUCGCAAAAGAAGGGUCUUAUCCAAAAUGACAACUUCUAUCAAGCUGUCUGAUUGACUGAAGCACAUGUAAAUUAGGUGACCAGUUCUUUCCUUUGAAUAACUUAUACUUGUCCUGCAGGUCGACUUUUAAACUGUUGUAUUAAGGAUUUUCUUUGAUAUAGUGUUUGCAAGUUCAUGCGUGUUUUUAUAUUGGAGCCAAAUGGCAUUAAUAACACUUGUUAAGGUUGGUCCAGAUAACUAUUAAUAUGUCUGCUAAGGUUGGUUCAAUUCGUGGGAUAUUAUAGUUCAUCUUUCAAUAGCAUGAUUUCACUAUAUAGACCCUUUUGUUGUGUAUUUUUCAUAUUGGCUUAUCAAACCUCUAAGAAGUACUUCAGAAAUCAUUAAGAACCCCUAAUAGUUUGGCAACCUCCUCAAUUUCCCAAUCAUUCAAUGCGCUCCUAAAAAGUAGAUUCCAACCGUGUUGACUCCAGGCUUGUUCCACAGUGUCAUUGUUCUGCAUACUCAAUGUAUAUAGAAGAGGGAAUAGGUUUCUCAAAGUGUCUUCCUCUAUCUAUCUUUCAUUCAAGAACUCUGUCUUCCGUCGAUCCCCAACACUAAUACAUAUGUUGUUUUUGAAAUGUGGCCAUAGUCUUCUAAUGGUCUUCCAAACACUGCAUCCAAAUGUGCCCAUCACCUCUUCAGUUGUCCAUUGGUUAAAUAAACCAUACUUUCCUGAUAUAAAUCUCUUCUAUAAGGCUCUAUAUUCUAUACAGAAUGUCCAUAGCCACUUUUGGAGUAAACUACUGUUUUAGAGACUUAGGUCCUUCAACCCUAGCCUCCUUGGUUUUUGCUAAGUGUGAGAGUAUCCCACUUCACCAAGUUGUAGCCUUCCCUUUCUUUGUUGCCUUGCCAUAGAAAAGAUCUCCUGAGCCUAUUUAUUUUCUUCUCAAUGUUCUUGGGGACUGGAAAUAAACUCGUCAUAUAAGAAGGUGAUUCAUCUAAUAUUGACUUGAUGAGGGUCACCCUGCCACCUAGAGACAAAUACUAGCUUCUUCACCGGGCUUAUUUCGUCCCACAUCUAUCCAACACCACAUUGAAGACUUCCAACUCUUUGUUCUUAGCACCCAAAGGUAGUUCCAAAUAUUUUGUUGGUUGUGCAUCUACCUAGCAACUCAAUGUCUCAACUAGCCCAAGAAAAUUGUCAACUUGCUUGAUAGGGAGGAAAUGACUCUUCAGCCAAUUGACAUGGAGGCUUGAAAUGCUCUACUAAAUAGUGAGUAUAGCUCUUAUGUGUCUAAUUUGUGCCUCCUUUACCUCAUAGAAUAUAAGAGCAUCAUCAACAUAGAAUAAGUGUGUGAUCUCCAGCUCCUUCCCUCUCCCAGCAAGUGCACUAAAUCCUCUCCCACCCAUUUAGUCUUUGACUUCCGGAACAUGUGAUUCAACCCCUUCAUGGCUAUUAAGAAUAGGAAUAGGGACAUAGGAUCUCCCUGUCUAAGACUUUUCUGAGAUUGGAAGAAUCCUUCAGUGUUUCCAUUUAUGAGGAGGGAAAACUUCACACUUGAAAUGCAGUUAUUGAUCUAGUCAAUCCACUUGCUACCAAAUCCCAUGUCCUUUAGUAUUUUUAGAAGGAAAUUCCAAUUAACAUGUUCAUAGGUUUUCUCAGUGUCUAGCUUGCACAGAAUCCUAGGUUUUUUCUGCCUUACCUUGGAGUUGACCAUUUCAUUAGCCAACAAUGCUGCAUCCAUUAUUUGCCUAUAUCUUAAAAAAGCCAUUUGGUGUUCAUCAACCAAUUUCACUAUCACUUUCUUUAUUCUCUCAGUUAGCAACUUGGAGAUGAUUUUAUAGACUACUCCUAUCAAACUGAUAGGUCUAAAGUCUUUUAGCUCAAUUGAAUCAGGUUUCUUUGGGAUUGAAGCGAUCAAUGUAGCAUUAAAUGAUUUCUCAAACGCACUCCUCUGAUGGAAAUUUUUUGUACUCAACAUUCAGUUCUCUUUCAAAAUAUCCCAACAUUUCUUAAAGAAAAUCCAUAGUGAAGUCAUCAGGGUCUGGUGCUUUGUCCCCGUCAUACUGGUUGAUGAUCAAUAACACUUCCUCUUCUGUAAAUGGUCUUUGUAACCAUUCAUUUUCUUCUAUAGACUUUUGGACAUCCUACAAAAUGAAAAGAGGGUCUCCAGGAUUCAAGUUCUGAGUAGAGUCUGGCAUUUAAUACAUAUGACAUGGUAAUAGAGGAGGUUGCUUUAAUGGUUCCAAAUCCCACAAUGUUAUGUGUUGAGCCAUCAACUACCAUUACUUGAGAGGGUUCUUUGUGGGAUCGAAAGGUAGAAAAUAUAUUAGGAUUACGUGUCAUGUAAUUACUAGUACCUGUAUCAAUCACCCAGUUGUUCAAAGAGGAGAUCGCAUAUGCUUUUCUUGAAUCAACAAGGGUAGUAAUUGAAAUGAAUUCUUUAAGGGAUUCUUGAUACUAAGAGGACUCGCAAACUCAUUCGCCGAAACCAAAAUUGUCUUACCCUCAUAAUUUAUAGCCAUAUUUCCUCCUUUCUAAUUGUUUGAGUUAUAGUUUCAACUCAAAAUAUUAUUAUAGGAGAGGCUAACAAACACAAACAAUACCAACAUAUACAAUCCAGUAUUGAAAAGGCAAUUUGUUAAUAUCAAGACAUGCAAAAUUUUAUGGGAUUAAGUCCAUACAAAAUUUGAACGAAGUUGUACAGUUAAGACAUAUUGACCCAAGUGAACAUUUUGGGUUAAUACAACCGGAUUAAUUAUUUUAGUCAAGAUUGCGUGACUUAAGUCAAAUCCAACUACAUUGGGCUAGGUUGGGCUUCUACAAAAUGGUCCACCCACAUGUUUUAAGCCCAAGGGUCCAUUAGGAUUACUUGGAGACUACCGUAAAACCUUCCAUUCAUGCCUUUAUAAAAUAAAAAGGCUACAUAUUCUCUUUGGAGGCAUCUUGAAAAUUCUAUAACAUGUUGGAAGAUUCUAAGAUGGGAUUGGACAAAGACAAGAGUGUGCUCAACUGGAACAACGACCAACAAAGACCAAUUACUUAGAUAACGAUUCUUACCCUUCUGCUUUAAGGCUUUAAGGCGAACUGUAUGGAGGUAGGAAAGAAAGACGUCUCACCUUCUCUAGUGUUAGUGAGAGCAAUUUGAGUAUCCUUCAUGCACCUCCUUUUGUAGAUAGAAUCUUAAUGAGUGGAAACAAGCAACCUUACUAAGAAAGGUUCUUGUUGAGUAAGGCCGACUUUCAAGCCAACCCUUGGUAUAGGUUGUGCACUUGAGCGCAUGAUUGGUCCAUUGAAGAUUGUACAAGCCUAAUGCAGGCAUGCAUACAUCUUAUAUCAUGAUCAUGCCAAUGCCAUCAACAAGCCAAUUUCAUUUAUUUGUUCUAUUAAGUACUUCUUUCACGUCAUUAGCUUUAAAAAAUUGUCUCCCUUUACUGGUUCACCUCGAUGAAAAACUUAAGAAUUGCCUAGCUUCAAAAGGUCAUCAAUAAUAUUUGAUUCCAAGAAAUGAGCAACCAAUUCACCCAACAAAAUAAUUGUAGUCGAUAGUCAAAUACCACAUUUAUUUGACAUCAAGAACAAGCAUCCACAAAAAACUAUUAAUUCAAUAUUGAGCAAAAUUCAGCAAAUCGCGACAACACCAAACUGAAACCAGAUCUAAAUCACUGAAGGAGAGACUAGCAUACUAGAACAUUAAUUGUCCCGAACAACAUGUUUUAGCCCUAGUCUAUUUCCAUUAUUAUGUAUUGCCAUCUUGGAAGGGGCUCUUGACGUGAUAUUCAAUUAGAGGAAAUACGUGUAAGAACUGUUUGUCUUCUCAACAAGUUACUCAAAAAUAUCUCUCCAGAACUGAAGCUUUUAUGAAGACCAAAGACACCUAUGAGAUAUAUGAAGAUGUACUCUAUCCACCUAAAAAUAUAAUAAGAUAUGAGAUGUGCACACCAACGUGGUUAUUGAGAAAUAAGAAAUUUUGAAAUUCCAUUUUAGUAAAAAUGUAAGUCGUUCAAUCAAAUACAAAAAAUGACAUAAACAUCAAUUUACAUUAUUAAUGUCAUCCUCAAGAACUGUACUGGACACUAACUUGUGUUCCUGUUCUGUCCAAGAAGCCCCUUUUCGCCAUUCUACAUCUACAAAAAAUGAUAUAAACAUCAAUUCAAAGUAUUAAUUCUGGUUUUGCAUUUCAGGAUAAUUAGAUAAUGUACAUAUCUAGACUCGAUGACAUUGAUAUCUUCAAUUAAUACAUUACAAUGAUCCUUAAUAUCAUCCGUCAAUUUCCCAAGAAGUGCUUUUGCCAUUUCCUUCAAUAGAUUGUUGUUAUCCUUGUUGAUCGCAAGAGUAUUCUCAAAGAUUUUAUUCUCCUCCUUAGUCCAGAAGGAGUUAUUGCACGUUCGAUCAUUGUUCAUUUUCUUUUAGAUCUACACGGAAAGCUCAAACAUGAAAAAGGUAAGCUCUUCAAGAGGAUUCAUAAAAUGGAUGAAUGUAAAUAUAUGACCAAAAUUUAUCAUAAAUAUCGGGCAUCUAAAAUAAGAUUUUUUGUAACCCCUGACACUUAGAAAUUAGAAACAAUCGCAGCAACACACAAUCUUCUAAAUCAGUUAUGGAUACUAAGAGAGACUGUUUCUGAGACACUUGGCUCAAGUUACUUUUCUUAGUAUCCAUAACUGAUUUAAAAGAAUGUGUGUUGCUGCGAUUGUUUUUGAUUACUAAGUGAUAGAGGUUACAAAAAAUCUUAUUUUAGAUGCCCGAUAUUUAUGGUAGUUUUGAUCAUAUAUUGACACUCCUCCGUUUUCUUAAUCCUCUUGAAGAGCUUAUCUUUUUCAUGUUAAAGCUUUCGUUGUUGAUCUAAAAAAAAAUGAACACCGAUCGGACAUGCAAUAACUCCUUCUAGACUAAGGAGGAGGAUAAAAUCUUUGAGAAUACUCUUGCGACCAACGAGGGUAACAACAAUCUAUUGGAGAAAAUGACCAAAGCACUUCUUGGGAAAUCGGCGGAUGAUAUUAAGGAUCACUAUAAUAUCUUAAUUGAAGAUACCAAUGCCAUCGAGUCUGGAUAUGUCCCCAUUACCUAAUUAUCCUGAAAUAGCAAAACCAGAAUUCAAAAGCAUAUGUAGAAUGGUGAAAUGGGGGCUUCUUGGACCAAAUAGGAACACAUGUCAGUUUGCAGUACAGUUCUUGAGGACGACAUAAAUAAUCUGAAUUGAUGAUCAUUUCUUGUAUUUGAUUGCACGUCGUAUAUUUUUACUAAAACGGAAUUUCAAAAUUUCUUAUUUCUCAAUGACCACGUUGGUGUGCUUCUAAACAUCUCAUAUAUUAUUAUAUUUCUAGGUGGAUAGAGUACAUCUUCAUAGGUGUAUUUGGUCUUAACUGCAUCACCAAUAUAAUACAAAGUAUUAAUUCCAACUUCUGAGUUCCACAAUAUUUUCAGAUUAAAUAUGUAGGUUUUUACUUUUUAAAAUUGUCAAUGGUUAGGCUUGCUUUCAUGAGAAGUGGAUGAGUAUUUGUAAGACCAAAUAUUUAUAAGAUCAUAAUUUUGAAGUGGAUGAGUAUUUGUAACACCAAACCAUUGUCUUCUUCAACUUUCUCACAGGCUCCAUCUUUGAGCUUAACCCAUCUCCCAAAUUAAUCUUCCCUACUCCUCACCGACCAACAAUGCACUUUCACAGAGCCAAAACCCAGAACAAUUCGCUUUCGUUUAACCCCAUCUCGCCCGCCAACUGUUCGAUACAAUUCCUCAACCAACAAUUGUCCUUUGGAACACAAUUAUCAUUGGGUUUAUCUGUAAUAACAUGCCCCAUGAAGCAAUUUCAUUCUAUUCUCGAUUGAAACAUGUGGGUUCAUCCGUAUGUGAUCAGUAUACUUAUUCCUCUGUUAUCAAGGCUUGCGUGGAGACCAAACGGAUUCUUGUAGGUAAUGCUGUGCAUUUGCCACAUUCUGAGUUCUGGGAUUCGUCCUAGUAGGAUUGUUAGUAAUUCUUUGUUGAAUAUGUACUCUGCUACUUGUCUUACAUUGGAUAAUGGUUCUGAUUGUGAUUGUGAUUUUGUUGAAAGGGUGUUCAGAACUAUGCGUAAAAGAAAUGUUGUUGCAUGGAAUACUAUUUUUUCAUGGUAUGUGAAAAGGAAGAGGUUUUCGGAAGCAGUGAGGUGUUUUGUUAUGAUGAUGAGAUUAGGCAUUAAGCCAACUGUUGUUAGUUUUACUAAUGUUUUUCCUGCUGUAUCAGAAACAGGGGAUGUUAGAGUUGCUGAUUUUCUUUAUGGAUUUCUUGUGAAAUUGGGUAAUGCAUAUGUAAAUGACCUGUUUGUUGUUAGUGCUGCCAUUGUUAUGUAAGCUGAGCUUGGCUGUGUUGAUUUGGCGACCAGAAUAUUUGAGAAUACUUGUGAAACAAAUACAGAGAUCUGGAACUCUAUGAUUAGCGGGUACAUUCAGAACAAUUUUCCUUUUAAAGCAGUUGAUCUCUUUCUUGAAGCUGUAGAAGCAGAGGAUGCUGUUUCUACUGAUGAUGUGACAUUUGUAUCUGCUCUUAUGGCAGCUUCACAGUUGCAGCAUUUGGAGUUUGCCCAACAGCUACAUGCAUGUCUGAUAAUGAAAUGCAGGGUUUCACAGGUUAUUUCGCUUAAUGCUGUGAGCCACAUAUUCUAGGUGUAACCAUAUUGGCAAUUCACUUUAAGUUUUUAAUGGAAUGAAGGAAAGAUAUAUUGUGUCAUGGAACACCGUGGUGUCUGCUUUGGUACAGAACGAACUGGAUAACGAGGCUUUGAUGCUUGUAUAUGAGAUGAAAAAGCUAUGGGUCGCAAUUGAUGAUAUAACAAUUACCAUCCUGCUUUCUGCGGCAUCAAAUAUUAGGGACAGGGAAAUUGGUAAACAGACCCAUGCUUAUCUUCUGAGGCACAAUAUUCAAUUUGAAGGGAUGGAGAGUUACCUGAUAGUCAUGUAUGCCAAAUCUAAUAUGAUUAGAGAAGAACGAGCAAUAUUCCAGUCGAACUUCACAUAUGAUAAAGAUCAAGUCACGUGGAAUGCUAUGAUUGCUGGAAACACUCAGAAUGGAUUAAUUGAACAAUCCUUUGUUGUCUUCAAGGAGAUGCUUGAGCAGAAUGUGAAGCCAAAUGCUGUGACCUUAGCAUCAAUCCUCCCAUCAUGCAGCCAGUCAGGAAGUAUAGCAAUAGGCAAGCAGCUACAUUGUUUUGCAAUUCGCUAAUUGUUUGAGAACAAUGUUUAUGUUAUUUCUGCUUUGGUAGACAUGUAUUCAAAAUCAGGAAUCAUUGAUUAUGCUGAAAGUGUUUUCUAAAAUCUCUUGAGAAGAACUCUGUGACAUAUACAAAUAUGAGUUUGGGAUAUGGCCUUCAUGGGAUGCGUAGGAAGCUCUAAAACUGUUCUACUCUUUGCGGCAGAAUGGUUUAGAACCAGAUGCUGUUACCUUUGUAGCAGUCCUGUCUACUUGCAGCUACACCAGAUUGGUUGAUUCAGGCCUUCAAUUAUUUGAGCUGAUGGGUGAAGAAUAAGGGAUUCAGCCGUCAGCAGAGCACUAUGCUUGUGUGGUUGACAUGUUAGGAGAGUUGGACGGUUGGAUGAAGCUCAUAAUUUUGCUAAACAGUUGGGUGUUGAGGGUAAUAACUUGGGAAUAUGGGGAUCACUCCUUGCAGCCUGCAGAGUGCAUAGAAAUUUUGAAUUGGGGAAAAUUGUUUCCAGUAUGCUGCUUGAAUUAGAGGGGAGUGAUGGAAUUUCUGGUUAUCAUGUUCUGCUUUCAAAUAUAUAUAUGCAGAGGAAGGAAACUGGCAGUCUGUAGAUAACGUCAGAAGAGGAAUGCGCAAAAUGGAAUUCUCAAAGGAGGUUGGGUGUAGUUGGAUUGAUACUUCUGGAUAUCCACACUGUUUUGUNNNNNNNNNNNNNNNNNNNNNNNNNNNNNNNNNNNNNNNNNNNNNNNNNNNNNNNNNNNNNNNNNNNNNNNNNNNNNNNNNNNNNNNNNNNNNNNNNNNNNNNNNNNNNNNNNNNNNNNNNNNNNNNNNNNNNNNNNNNNNNNNNNNNNNNNNNNNNNNNNNNNNNNNNNCCUAAACUUGAACUAAUAGAAGAGUGGAUCUAUGGGCUAGAAGAAUAAAAAACUAUUAGUUCUCCCACUAUGUUGUUGUUCUCGGACUAUGUAGCUUUGUAUUCAUGAUAUUUUUGGACAGGAUUUUGCUAGAGUUAAUAUGAUCGUAGUUUAUCAAUGACCAGCUGCCUUUGAAAUUCGAGGUAAUUAAGUUGUGUUUUAGCUUUUUUUAGUUUAGUUUUUUCUUCUGAAUUAUGCUUUUUUACUUUGUAAAGAUACUCAGAAGUAGGAUAUUCAGUUAGUGAAAUGUAUGCAUAUUUCUUUAUUAAUACAGAGCAAUCAAGAAUAUCCAUUUUACCUUUUGGUGGGAAAGGAGGAGUCCCAGGUAGCAAAAGAAUGGUCUUAUCCAAGGCGACAACUUCUAUCAUGCUGUCAGAUUGAGUGAAGCACAUUUAAAUUAGGUGACCAGUUCUUUCCUUUGAAUAACUUAUACUUGUUCUGCAGGUCGACUUUUAAACUAUUGUAUUAAGGAUAUUUGAUUUAGUGUUUGCAAGUUCAUGAGUGUUCUUAUAUUGGAGCCAAAUGGCAUUAAUAACACUUGUUAAGGUUGGUCCGGAUAACUAUUAAUAUGUCUGCUAAGGUUGGUUCAGCUAAUCAUAGUAUGUGACUAUCAAUGGAACUGGCAUAAGUGUAGUUUUUCAUUUCUGAAAAUGGAUCUGAAGCUACAACAAAUCAUAUAGAUAAGAUAAUCUCUGAAAUUUUCCUUAUUAGGCUGUCGGCUUAAAUUAUUGGACAUUGACAAACAAAAACUUUCUAUAAAUUAGGUCUAGUUCUAGUGAUUAGUAGGAAGUUUUAUUGAGUAAAUAUGCAAGUUUCGAGUUCAUAUUAUCUUUACUUGGCUUAUUAGGUUCCACAUGUUUGCUUACAAGCUGCUUGUGUCCAUUUAAUGUGAAUUAUUGCCCUUCAGUUUUCACAAGGGACAAAGGGCGUAACGGCAUCUUAUUUUGGAGUUUUUGUCUUUUUGGAUAAGGUAAAUAAUUUUACUAAGAGUUAAUGGUCAAAAACACAUCCAAACUAUCACUUUUUGCGAGUUUCAUACCUCAACUAUCAUUGUUCGCUUUACCUACCUAAACUAUCACCCUUGUUGUAUUAUAACUCACCUUGGUGUUGGGUGGUUCAUUUGUGAACAUGGAGGGUAUAGAAUGGUUGUUUAUUAUCUUAAGAUAAUAUGCUUAAGUGAGUGAGAAACUGAUAAAGUCAUAUGGUACAUUAAUUCCGCUUGAUCCUAACAUUCGUAAUUUCUAAAUAUCUCUCGAUUAUCAAAAGGGGUUCCAUCAUCUUUCAUAAGAUGCACAUUGUGAACUAGUAGUGUACUACAGGGUUUGGCAUCCAAUUUUCCAGUUUCUACAAGUAGGUCAAGAAUGUACUUUCUGUGUGAUAGAAAAAUUUCCUUCUUUCUUCUAUUCACUUCUACUUCCAAAAAGUAUUUCAACUCGCCUAUGUCCUUCGUAUGAAACCUAGUAGGCAAGAAAGACUUAAAAGGGAAGAGAUCCCCUCACAAAAAAAAGUCAUGAGUGACUAGUAAAAGGAUCAAACAUGAAGGUACAUGUGGUAUACUACCACAAAAGUCCACAGAGAUACGAAGCAUAUUAUGAAAGCAUUUGCAUUCUUUACCUUUUCUAUCGGACGGAAGGUUUUAUAAUUAUAAUAAGAAAGAAGACAACAAAGAAGAAAACUAUUUGUCUCAAGAUAAGAAAAAAUUAUAUCAUUGAGUAUAUAUUUUUAUUCUUGUUAGUGAUGCAAAAAAAAGAUCUAUGGCCUUGUACCACAUAACGGGAAAGAAAUUCUAUUAAUCCAACAUAUGUUAUCUAAAGAAAAGGAAAAACCCAGAUUCCCUUGUAACACGAUCUAACCACUUAUAACUAGGGAAUGUGCUAAGUCAAAAUAUAUCCUGGACAAGAAAUCAAAAGGAAGCUAUAAUGAUGAUUCGAGAAAGGGAAGAUUUACAAAACCAACAACAACAUCAUAUCCACUGAAAUCCCACAAGUGAGGUAUGGGGAGGGUAGAGUGUCUAUAGACCUUACCAUACCUUGGGAAGUAGAGAGGUCAUUUCUGACUGACCCUCAACUCAAGGAAAAGCAUAUCAAAGCAGAUCGAAAAAGGAAAGCAGAACCAUGACAAAAAAUCUCAAAGGGAAAGACAUGAAAAAUCUUACUUUUUCCCUUCAAAUAACUAAUCAUAUCUCUAAAAAUUAACUUUCCUAAAUACAAAGCAUGUUAAAGAAUAGUACCAAAAAACAUCAGCACAACUAGCAGAACCUGAUGAUCACAAAGCACAAUCAAAGCAAACUUCUGAGUGGAUCAAUCUACAGUUAUAAAUUGUAUCACCUAUGAAAACAAGCAUUCAACCAAAAAGGAAUCACACAUAUAUAUACUUACAACUGUAGAUUGAUUCAUUUUUAGUUGAAUGUUUGUUUUCAUAGGUGAUACAACUUAUAACUGUAGAUUGAUUCACUCAGAAGAUUGUUUUGACUGUGUUUUGUGAUCAUCAGAUUUUGCUAGUUGUGCUAACGUUUUUGGGUACUCUUUUUUAACAUGCUUUGUGUUUAGUAAAGUUAAUUUUUAGAGUUAUGAUUAGUUUUUUGAAGGAAAAAAACAAGAUCUUUCAUGACUUUCCCUUUAAGAUUUUUUGUCAUGGUUAUGUAAAACUUUCCUUUUUUGAUGUGCUUUUCCUUGAGUUAAGGGUCAAUUAGAAAUGACCUCUCUGCCUCCCAUGGUAUGGUAAAGGUCUAUAAACACUCUACCCUCCCCAUACCUCACUUAUGGGAUUUCACUGGAUAUGAUGUUGUUGGUUUUGUAAUCUUCCCUUUCUCGAUCCGCUUUAUAUGUUUUCCUUGAGCCAAGUGUGUCUCAGAAAUAGCCUUUCUACCUCUCAAGGUAGGGAUAAGGUCUACGUACACUCUACCGUCCCCAGACUCACCUGUGGGAUUACACUUGGUAUUUUGUUGUUUGUUGGUUUUGUAAAUCUUCCAUUCAAAUGAUCAAUAAUUUGCUAUUUCAUGAUGUAUAAAGGUAAUGACGACACAAGAGAAUGUACAGUCAAUCACACAUGGUUGAUUUAUAUAUUGUUUUUGGUGUAGAUAUGCAAAGUGAUACUGACAUACUUGAAUAUCAUGAGAUUCAUUUUGUUUCUAUCUCAGGAGAGAAACAUUGUGUCAACAUUUUCUAGGGACUCUUCUUUAACAUGGUUUCCAUUGUUGAAAAUUAAUGUGUAGAGAUUUGAGUGUUUUUCAAAAAGGAAAAACAAGAAUUUGUAUAACUUUCCUUUUGAUUUUUUUGUCCAAAAUAUAUUGUCUUAGCACAUUCCCUAGUUUUAAGUGGUUAGAUUGUGUUACAAGGGAAUGGAAACUUGAGACAUGGAGGCCGAGUUUGAUAAAAAAUUGUUCAAUUUACAAAGCCAUGCCAAAUCUAAAUUGUGGCAAAGCAAAUCUAUUUUUGAGUGCUUCAGUUGUCUCGAGUCUCUUGCAACUUUCAGUUCAAGAAUCAGACAUCCUGUAUAUUCUAGCGACACCAAAUUUGGAGCAUCAAUCUUCCUUGUGCCACCCGAAUCGUCCUUAAUCUUCAAGACGUUUUGGAAUUGAGAUCUAGAAAUAAGGUGCUCGAGAUUCCAUCACAUGUCCACAUGAGGUGAUAUGAUAUAUCUAAAGAUUUCAGAUUCUAACAUUCAAUAACAUCCAAAUUGUCCGGUGAAGAACUAGAAUAAUAUAAGUGUUCAAGAUUGAUGCUUUAACACCCUGGUUUCUUGUUGUACAAAUAGAAACUGACUUGAUCUUUUGAAGAUUUAGCAGCUCAAUCUUUUUCAACCUUCUGUAACAAUGCUCAAGUGUGAGUUAGUGAUCGACUUCCAUCUCCAACAACUUUCUUAGAAGGCUUUACAUUUGAGUGAGGAGCACUAAAAGUAUUUUUGACCUCCAUCACCUGACAAAAAAGUACUACCAUCGCAAGAAAAGAUCGCGUUGAAGUGGUUAUAAGCGAAUUUCGUCAUCUGAAUAGCAGAAUAAUCAUUUGGCAAUGGUAGUUCUUAAAUGUUCACAUCUUUUCCCUUCUAUCUUUGUAUACAUUCUUUGUUUCCGGGCAGGGGGUGAAGGACAUAAGAGAAGAUUUUCCUAUAGGUAAGGAAGAGGUGAAAAAGGAGCAUUAGUCACUGAGCCCAUGGACGAAGAUAAUGAUACCAGUUCCAUUUUUUAUGUUGGGAAAGCACCAACUGCUUAUAGAGGAAUGUCCGGUUAUAUAUGCAGCUGCAGGGGCGGCUCCUGCUUAGUCACCUCCCUUUGCCCCCUCAGCUAAUCUCCCGUUGACGAUGAAGACAUUUUUUAUCUGCAUGACUUGUUCACAAAUCAGAUGUUCUGAUUUGAUGGAGGAGAAGCUGUUAAUGUUGAUAUUUGUUGCUCACAACCAGAUAGGUUGUAAACAUUGAUACUGCACUUGGUUUUUUGUAGACUUAUUACAUAAUGUUAGACAGUAUUACUCUUCUUUAACAUCUGUUUAUCAAUUAAAUGGUCCUUAAUGUAUGGGGUUGGACUAAUUUAGUCAUUCAUAUACACCUCGUAAUCGUAGAAAAAGUGACCCUUUUCCUACCACCACCACCCUUAAUGUAUCACUUAUUCAUACAUUAAGGACUAUUUCGAUUACAUGGUAUAUAUGGACUAAAAGGAUCACUUUUCUGU